CCUUCGAUAGCUCAGUUGGAAGAGCGUGGGACUGUAAUGGUUAACUCGACAUCCCAAGGUCACUGGUUCGAUCCCGGUUCGAAGGA
rnacentral:tRNA from 2 species